rnacentral:tRNA from 1 species
GCCCAGGGAGCUCAGUUGGUAGAGCAGCGGACUGAAAAUCCGCGUGUCGGUGGUUCGAAUCCGCCCCUGGGCACCA